GACGAACGCUGGCGGCGUGCUUAACACAUGCAAGUCGAACGGAAAGGCUCCAGCUUGCUGGCGUACUCGAGUGGCGAACGGGUGAGUAACACGUGGGUAAUCUGCCCUGCACUCUGGGAUAAGCCUGGGAAACUGGGUCUAAUACUGGAUAUGGCCUUUCUCCUUAUGGGGUUUGGUGGAAAGUUUUUCGGUGUAGGAUGAGCCCGCGGCCUAUCAGCUUGUUGGUGGGGUGAUGGCCUACCAAGGCGACGACGGGUAGCCGGCCUGAGAGGGUGAUCGGCCACAUUGGGACUGAGAUACGGCCCAGACUCCUACGGGAGGCAGCAGUGGGGAAUAUUGCACAAUGGGCGGAAGCCUGAUGCAGCGACGCCGCGUGAGGGAUGACGGCCUUCGGGUUGUAAACCUCUUUCAGCAGGGACGAAGCGUAAGUGACGGUACCUGCAGAAGAAGCACCGGCUAACUAUGUG
rnacentral:rRNA from 1 species